GAUGAAGAACGCAGCGAAAUGCGAUAAGUAAUGUGAAUUGCAGAAUUCAGUGAAUCAUCGAAUCUUUGAACGCACCUUGCGCCCUUUGGCCAUUCCGAAGGGCAUGCCUGUUUGAGUAUCAUGAACACCUCAACUCUUCAUGGUUUUCCAUGAUGAGCUUGGACUUUGGGGGUCUUGCUGGCCUGUGGGUCGGCUCCUCUCAAAUGAAUCAGCUUGCCGGUUUUUGGUGGGCAUCACAGGUGUGAUAACUAUCUACGCUUGUGGUUUUCCACCAGGGUAACCUUCAGCAGUGGAGGUUCACUGGAGCUUACAAAUGUCUCUCCUCUGUGAGGACAGCCCUUUGAAUGUUUGAUCUCAAAUCAGGUAGGACUACCCGCUGAACUUAAGCAUAUCAAUAGCGGAGGA
rnacentral:misc_RNA from 1 species